rnacentral:lncRNA from 1 species
AUUCAGCACAAGAGCAUCGCAGAAAUUCUCGGUUUUGUAUGUACAUGUUGAUGAAUGCAAUGCGGUUUCAGUUUAACAUAAAAAGUCCUACACAACUCCGCUACACUCCACAGUAAGAUUUCCCCAGAACUCCUCUACCUUUACACCAUAGUGUGGAUGAACCACUAAACAUUGUAGAUGAACUGCUAGUACGAUGUAGAUAAACC